AUUUCCGAAUGGGGAAACCCAGCAUGAGUUAUGUCAUGUUAUCGAUAUGUGAAUACAUAGCAUAUCAGAAGGCACACCCGGAGAACUGAAACAUCUUAGUACCCGGAGGAAGAGAAAGAAAAUUCGAUUCCCUUAGUAGCGGCGAGCGAAACGGGAAGAGCCCAAACCAACAAGCUUGCUUGUUGGGGUUGUAGGACACUCUAUACGGAGUUACAAAGGACGACAUUAGACGAAUCAUCUGGAAAGAUGAAUCAAAGAAGGUAAUAAUCCUGUAGUCGAAAAUGUUGCCUCUCUUGAGUGGAUCCUGAGUACGACGGAACACGUGAAAUUCCGUC
rnacentral:rRNA from 1 species